AAAUCGUAAUAAAUCUCGGCUCUUCCGUUCUCUUUCGUGCUUCAAUUUAUCAUCCUGAUUUUGAUUUUUAACAGCGCCUGCCAGCUACCUCUUAGCUUGAUUAUUCUUAUGAAUUUGAGCUUUAGGGUUCUUUCCCAUCGGCUUCACUGAUAUUUGUCCUGCUCCUUCAUCGGCUGUAAUCGUCUUUGAUGCAUAGACGCGUUUGAUCGCUCAAUUUGAUAAUGACUUCAAGUUGGAGAAGAACGGUUGGGAAUGUCAGGUCCUUCAUCGGCAACUCCAUGGGCGGUCUCCGAGGCGGUACCAAUCUUGCUUCCUGGGUAGUCGCUGGAACUCUUGCCUACUUCCUCUGGGUCAAGCCUUCCCAAGACCUCAAACGUGAACAGCAAGAAAGAGCUGCUCUUGCAGCCACGGAUCCUUAUCGAUACAUCGAGAAGAGGAAACCUAUUCCUGAUCCCCAGGAGACUGGUUUGAUAUACGGCAAUAAGAAUAAACCUCAAAAAUCAGAGGAAUAAUCAUCUAUGGAGAGCGAAAACUUUUGAGAAAUGUAACGGAUUGCCCUUUAUACAUGGAAGGGGGUCGGUAAUGUCGGGGGGAAGCUAGAGCCUGGAACAACAUGAUUCUCUUAUAACGCUAUGGAUGUGAAGAUUAAAAGGUGAUAGAUAGGGAAUGUGUGUAGUUUCAGUAAAGAGUUGUAGCCAAAUCAUUUGAAUGAAAUGUUUUAGUGUAAUAACCUGGAGCUGAAAGUUGCAAAAGUUCUGUACUUUGUGUUUUGCUCUGAUGAUCUCAAUGGGAUUAUCUGCCUGCCUGCUUGUAUAUUUCUAGUGGAGGUGGAGGCCUCAACUUUCAUGUGGCACUUAAAAGCAAUAAACUAGUUAUCAAGUCUUCUAAAC